CUGCUGCCUCCCGUAGGAGUCUGGACCGUGUCUCAGUUCCAGUGUGGGGGGCCUUCCUCUCAGAACCCCUACGCAUCGUCGCCACGGUGGGCCGUUACCCCGCCGUCAAGCUAAUGCGCCGCAUGCCCAGCCGCCACCGGAUUCCUCCUUUCGCCCGGACCGGAUGCCCGGUCCGGCGGCAUGGGGUAUUAGGCCGGGUUUCCCCGGGUUAUCCCCCUGUGGCGGGCAGGUUCCAUACGUGUUACUCACCCGUGCGCCGGUCGCCGGCAGGCGCAGGCAACG
rnacentral:rRNA from 1 species